UACAGAGGUGGCAAGCGUUGUUCGGAAUUACUGGGCGUAAAGGGCGCGUAGGCGGCCUUCUAAGUCAGACGUGAAAUCCCCCGGCUUAACCUGGGAACUGCGUCUGAUACUGGGAGGCUUGAGUAUGGGAGAGGGAUGUAGAAUUCCAGGUGUAGCGGUGAAAUGCGUAGAUAUCUGGAGGAAUACCGGUGGCGAAGGCGGCAUCCUGGACCAUAACUGACGCUGAGGCGCGAAAACUAGGGGAGCAAACGGG
rnacentral:rRNA from 1 species